rnacentral:lncRNA from 1 species
GGGAGGAUCCCCUAAUUCCAGGCUGAGGGUAACUGAGACCAUGGAAGGCAAAACCAUGGAUAAGGGAGGAAUACUGUAUACAAAAUCAUUGCCAUUGAGGUUUUGAUUGAUUUGCAUUUGCCUCUGCAAUGGAGAAACUGAGCAGUCACAAAGCAGUAGAUGAACAAUAAAGCGGCUGAAGCAGGAAAUACAAGGAGUUUCAUGGUAUUAGAUAAAACUUUCACCCUGGAUCUUGAUAGAACCAGAUCAUGGGAGGCCAGCAUCUUGCUUAUAGAUACUCUUGAAUGCUAUUGAAAGGCCCAUUAAAUUAAAUAUACAAACCCUUGGCAACAGGGGAUUGCCAUGAAUUUGACUGUUAUCUGCAAUGUGUCAGGAAAUACUUCGUGAUGUUUUCCUCAACAGUGACACAGAAAAUAAAUUGAAAUUAAUUGUUUUUAGUUGAUUAACU